CAAUAAGCGGAGGAAAAGAAACCAACAGGGAUUGCCCUAGUAACGGCGAGUGAAGCGGCAACAGCUCAAAUUUGAAAUCUGGCCUCGGCCCGAGUUGUAAUUUGCAGAGGAUGCUUUUGGUGCGGUGCCUUCCGAGUUCCCUGGAACGGGACGCCACAGAGGGUGAGAGCCCCGUAUGGUCGGACACCAAUCCUGUGUAAAGCUCCUUCGACGAGUCGAGUAGUUUGGGAAUGCUGCUCUAAAUGGGAGGUAAAUCUCUUCUAAAGCUAAAUACCGGCCAGAGACCGAUAGCGCACAAGUAGAGUGAUCGAAAGAUGAAAAGCACCUUGAAAAGGGGGUUAAACAGUACGUGAAAUUGUUGAAAGGGAAGCACUUGUGACCAGACUUGGGCCGGGCGGCUCAUCAGGGGUUCUCCCCUGUGCAUUCCGCCCGGUACAGGCCAGCAUCGGUUCUUACCGGGGGAUAAGAACGGCAGGAACGUGGCUCCCCCUCGGGGGAGUGUUAUAGCCUGCCGUACGAUACCCUGGCGGGGACCGAGG
rnacentral:rRNA from 2 species